rnacentral:lncRNA from 1 species
GAGACCUAGAGAUGGGCAACUUGCCCAGGGCCAUGCAACUGCAUCCAACAGCUCCGUGCUAUUUACUCGCUGCCGUAGACUAUACCAGACAGGAUUUCUUUGUGUAGCCCUGCCUGUCCUGGAACUCACUAUGCAGACCAGGCUAUUCUGGAACUCAGACACUCGCCUACUUCUGUCUCCUGAGAGCUGAGGUUAAAGGCAUGAACCCCCACACCUGGCUUAUCAUCUGUCUUCUCAACAAGAGACUUCCCACAGAGAAGGGAUUCCAUACUUGGGUCAUGAAGAGAUGCUGAGACCUAUGUACCCUUCGAGUUGUACAGAGAGUUACAGGAGCACAUUUCAGUAGAGAAGAGAAGCUGAAGACUCUCAUCCAGCCCUGAAAUGAGUGUCCCCCUAGAACCCUAGUCCGGGGCUGAGGCAGAAAGAUUGAGAGCUGGAGCCUGGACUGGGUUACAUAACAAGAACCAAUCUAAAAGAAAGAAAAGAGUGUUUCUUUCCCCCAAUGCUAAUACUGCUCAUGGCACCUUGCCGAAACUCCUCUUCCCUUUCAGCUAAAAAUGCCCAAGAACCUCUAAAGGCUUGAGACAGGUUGGGAGCAGGUCUUAUCAAGAUGACACUAGCCAAACAGGGACGGCUGCCCUGACUCCAGCUGGGUUCCUAUGAUGUCUGAGUUCCUAUGAUGUCUGAGGACACCACCAAGUUCCUGGGCAUGUUGUACUUGCUUAGGGUAGCUUGCCAGCAAAGGCAGAAAACAGCCUUUGUGGCAAUCCCGAGGGAGGGCCUGAAGCAAAGGCGGCCACCGCGUCUGUAGGAGCCUCUCCCCCACUGACCACAGAUGUAUUACAAUGCGUCUCUGCUUCUUGCUGCCCGGGACUCAGGCUCCUUUCCCGGUGCCUGCUGAUAAUCCCUGACACUGUUUGGAGGAAUGCGUCACUUUCUCAACUGUCUGGCUCUGGAUUCACCGCCUACUGCGUCUCCUUUGGGAUAAGAUUGUUGGUCACGUGCCCAGAUUAAACAUCCUCCCUGUUCUUGCAGAUGGCCCAAGAUGCUUCUUCCUUUUCUUCACAACAGAAAACGGCGCAGUGUCUUCAAGGCAUCGAGGUGCCCGCGUUAUACACAUCUAGCGAUGCCCACUUGUGAUGGAGGCAGCCUCCGCGCUGAUUACCCGAGACCUAGGUUUUUCAGUGGCUCCCCACGGCAGUUGAAGGGCUUGUGUGGCUCUUCUUCAGCUUCCCCCAGCUAAUUGCCCCGUACUCCAGGAAGUCUUUGCCAUCUCCAACUGAGCAAUGUUCCUUCUGUACGUUCCCAGGUUGCCUAAAAUAAACCGUAGCACAU